UCACAUCAUCAGUUAAAGAAGAGAGAACAACACUGGAGAGAUGUCCUAGUCCUCUUGUUCCACAGGAUGGUUUAGAAGAACAUCACAAUGAUCAGAUGACUGUACCAGGAGCUCAGAGGAACAUCUAAUAUAUUCAGAUUUUAAAACAGAUGAGUCUGGUGUCACAGAAGAUACACGUGAAGAGCAUGGCAUUAUCUCAGAUGUAUCCUCAGCCUUUCACAGCAAAGAUCUGUCAUCUGAUCUUCUGGAUGGAUUUAAAUCUUCUGAUUUAUCACAGAUUGUUAAGCAAAAUAAAAGUCACAGGAGAAGUGUUCAACAUGAAAAAACUCACACAGGAAAGAAGACCUUUUCGUGCUCAGAAUGUGGGAAAUAUUUUAAAUGUGAAUCAGCUCUUGUUAACCAUCAAAGAGUUCACACAGGGGAGAAGCCAUUUUCAUGUUCAGAAUGUGGGAAAAGUUUUAGAACUAAAGCACAGCUUGUUCUGCAUGAGAACAUUCACAAAGAGGAGAAGCCAUUUUCAUGCUCAGUAUGUGGGAAAUGUUUUAAACAUAAAUCAUAUCUUGUUCUGCAUGAGAGAAUUCACACAGGGGAGAAGCCAUUUUCAUGUUCAGAAUGUGGGAAAUGUUCUAGCACUAAAUCAGAACUUGUUACACAUCAACGAAUCCACACAGGGGUGAAGCCAUUCUCAUGUUCAGAAUGUGGGAAAUGUUUUAGAACUAAAUCGCAGCUUGUGCUGCAUAACAGAACUCACACAGGGGAGAAGCCAUUUUCAUGUUCAGAAUGUGGGAAAUGUUCUAGAACUAAAUCGGAACUUGUUACACAUCAACGAAUCCACACAGGGAAGAAGCCAUUCUCAUGUUCAGAAUGUGAAAAAUGUUUUAACUAUAAAACAGAACUUGUUAAACAUGAGAUAAUUCACACAGGUGAGAAGCCAUUUUCAUGUUCAGAAUGUGGAAAAUGUUUUAAUCGUAAAUCACAUCUUAUUAGACAUGAGAGAAUUCACACAGGGAAGACACAAUUGUCAUGUUCAGGAAGUCAGCUCUGAGAAUGUACCUUUACUUCUUUACUGACAGCCAGGCAAGAUGAGUAUGCAGGAAUCUGGCCCUGUUAAUCAAAGAGGAGAGGGAAGGGCUGACAAAGGAAGCAGGGGAAGCAAGAAUGCACAGAAUAUUUACGCCCCUCCCUCACUGCACUUAGAGUCCCAUUUUCUCUCUAUUUGGCCCCACAGAUUGGAAAAGAAAUCCAACGUACAGGAUUGCUGAGUGAGCGUAAAUGAACUGCCUUACCUAUGACAUGGCAGCUCCCUAUCUGAUAGAACGUGGCAGCCUUCGAUGUUCAGGCUAAAGGAGGCACUUAGAGAUUUAUAUAUAUAUAUAUAUAGGCUAGAGCCAUGUGACCACUGACAUCACACCUCCUAACUCCAUUCUACAUUAACCCUCCUGAUAGGCACUCCAUUCAGCAACUCCAUUCUAGCAUUCUCACCAAUGAUCUCUGUACGGUGGAGCUGCUGCACUACCACCAGCAACUCUAUUCUAGAUGUAACUAUGCUGAUUGUGAUCGAUGCUGAAUGAUCUCUAGUCUUUGUGUAGCAGAGCUGGUACUGUGUGAUGUGUAUUCAGCAGAUCUGUCUGAUGUGUAUGUAGCAGAGCUGUGUCUGUUGGUGUGUAUGGAGCAGUGCUGAAUGUGUAGCAGGUGUGGUCACUUUUUUUUUUCUCUUCCACCACUGUUUCCCCCCCCUGAUCCACCCUCUGUGGUUCUGGAGAUCCCAUGUUCCUGACCCUCUUCAGCUCGGAACUAUUCUUAAGGCGGACUUACACGGCCUGAUUAUCGGGAAUAAACGUUAUUACAGAUGUAUUAAUAUGUAGAGGAAACGGUCAGCACUACUGUAGGUGUGGGAUUUAAUUUGGUGCUGCACUGAUCGAAUGUGAGUAGUGGUGGUGCUCAGCAUAAAAAACAAGUAGUAUUUGCAACAAAGGAGAGAAAAGAAAAAAGAAUGCGGCACUCAUCAAAAAAUACUCUUUGCGUGCAGUACUUUUUAUCCGGGCGCCUCUCGGCGUGUGCUGCCGUGCUGCCACCGGAACUCUGCCCCCACCCCCAUUAUAGUCAAUGGGGACAGAGCGGCAGUCCGGGGGCACACAUGAACUAGCGUCAGGACGGAUCUGACAGGCUGUUCACCCGCCGGAACAGUCUGCCGGACUCCCCUGCCGCUAGUGUGAAACUAGUCUUAGCGAAUUGAUUUAACCUGAAUUAGUGUAAAAAACUAAAAAAAAAUCAUAGCUCCUCUAUUUGCUCGCGACUGGCCGCCAGCCGUCACCUCUGCGUGGUGACGUAAGCAAGAUGGCAGCGGCCGGCCUGUCGCAAGCAAAUGGAGGCGGUAAAUUUGAUUAUCUUUUUUUCAAUGUCAAUUUUACACUGUUUGUACACUCAGAUGCCGCUAUCGCAGCUCCGUGUAAUUGCAGCCGCUACUUACAAAACUAAUGCGCUUCGUGACGAAGUAAUUCGUCACAAAGCAAUUUUUUUUUAUUCGGCGAAUCAGCCGAAUCAGACUUUUCAAAAAAUCUGCUCAUCUCUAGUAGCCGCCAUAAGGAUCCACAUUCAUGCUAUGUGUUACAUCACAGUAAACUCAUCCCUGUAUAUGAACAUGUAAAGCCUCAUUCACACAUCAAUGUUCCACACGAGGGUGCUGUACGUGUUCUCCACAGACAGCACACGUCCCCAUUCAUUUUAAUGUUUGUAUUCAGACAUCAGUGUUUUAGCAUGGUCCGUGGGUCUGUGUUUUUAGCAUGGAUGCAUGCUCUAUUUUGUCUGUGUUGGGGGAGCAGGAAAGUACGUUUACCUUUGGAAGUCUACUUGGGCGGGGGGUUGGCCAUUGACAAAAAGUCCCCUUUAAUGAUGACAUCAAUUAAAAAAACUUUUAAGUUUUAA